rnacentral:rRNA from 1 species
UACGUAGGGUGCAAGCGUUAAUCGGAAUUACUGGGCGUAAAGCGUGCGCAGGCGGCUUUGCAAGACAGAUGUGAAAUCCCCAGGCUUAACCUGGGAACUGCAUCCGAUACUGGAUGGCUUGAAUUCGGGAGAGGGAUGCAGAAUUCCAGGUGUAGCGGUGAAAUGCGUAGAUAUCUGGAGGAAUACCGGUGGCGAAGGCGGCAUCCUGGACCGACAUUGACGCUGAGGAGCGAAAGCUAGGGGAGCAAACGGG